UACGGAGGGUGCAAGCGUUAUCCGGAUUCACUGGGUUUAAAGGGUGCGUAGGCGGGUAGGUAAGUCAGUGGUGAAAUCUUCGAGCUUAACUCGGAAACUGCCAUUGAUACUAUUUAUCUUGAAUAUUGUGGAGGUCAGCGGAGUAUGUCAUGUAGCGGUGAAAUGCUUAGAUAUGACAUAGAACACCGAUUGCGAAGGCAGCUGACUACGCAUAUAUUGACGCUGAGGCACGAAAGCGUGGGGAUCAAACA
rnacentral:rRNA from 1 species